UACAGAGGUGGCAAGCGUUGUUCGGAAUUACUGGGCGUAAAGAGCUCGUAGGCGGUUUGUCGCGUCUGCUGUGAAAAUCCAGGGCUUAACCCUGGACCUGCAGUGGGUACGGGCAGACUGGAGUGCGGUAGGGGAGAUCGGAAUUCCUGGUGUAGCGGUGAAAUGCGCAGAUAUCAGGAGGAACACCGGUGGCGAAGGCGGAUCUCUGGGCCGUAACUGACGCUGAGGAGCGAAAGCAUGGGGAGCGAACAGG
rnacentral:rRNA from 1 species